UGGGGAAUUUUGGACAAUGGGGGAAACCCUGAUCCAGCCAUCCCGCGUGUGCAAUGAAGGCCUUCGGGUUGUAAAGCACUUUUGGCAGGAAAGAAACGUCGCGGGUUAAUACCCCGCGAAACUGACGGUACCUGCAGAAUAAGCACCGGCUAACUACGUGCCAGCAGCCGCGGUAAUACGUAGGGUGCAAGCGUUAAUCGGAAUUACUGGGCGUAAAGCGUGCGCAGGCGGUUCGGAAAGAAAGAUGUGAAAUCCCAGAGCUUAACUUUGGAACUGCAUUUUUAACUACCGGGCUAGAGUGUGUCAGAGGGAGGUGGAAUUCCGCGUGUAGCAGUGAAAUGCGUAGAUAUGCGGAGGAGCACCGAUGGCGAAGGCAGCCUCCUGGGAUAACACUGACGCUCAUGCACGAAAGCGUGGGGAGCAAACAGGAUUAGAUACCCUGGUAGUCCACGCCCUAAACGAUGUCAACUAGCUGUUGGGGCCUUCGGGCCUUGGUAGCGCAGCUAACGCGUGAAGUUGACCGCCUGGGGAGUACGGUCGCAAGAUUAAAACUCAAAU
rnacentral:rRNA from 1 species